UAAUAUAGGAAUUUUAUACUUCGUAUAUGUUUGGAAAUAUGGUCCAAGCGUUUCUACCAGGCAGCCGGAAACAGCCUGACUACGAGGGUUUACAUAAGCAUU
rnacentral:ncRNA from 2 species